GAGUCCGAAGUUGCUGCUGCUGGGAGCUUGAGCUGAGAUGGACUGGUCUUCAUGGGCGCCCAAGGCGCUGGGUGCAGCUUUCCCCGAGACCCCCAGAUGGAAAGGAGGGAAGGAGGAACCCCACACACUCGCCUUUUGCGAGAAGAUCGGCGCGCACCCCAGAGUGCCCCAAGCCUUUGGAAUCUGCCUGCUGAGCGGAGCGCGCGAGCGUGGUGGACAGGUCCCGAACUUGGCCAGCGGGCUUUCUUGGCAACUUGCUUUGCGCAGUUCUCCAUGGAACCCUGGACCCACUGUGCUCCCGGCGCCUUGCCUUUUUUUUUCUUUUUCUUUCUCUCACUGUCUCUUUUUAAAUUUAUGAACUCGAAAUGAAGCGGAAAGCAGAUAUGCGCGUCAGCAUACUUUGGCGGCUCAAAGAGGAAAUCGCCUCUUGCUGCCAGUAUGGAAACCAUUGCUUGGAAAUGAGGAGCUGA
rnacentral:lncRNA from 1 species